AUGAGCUCAACGAGAACAGAAA
rnacentral:snRNA from 1 species